rnacentral:lncRNA from 10 species
UGGGAAUUUCUGCCUAGAUUUCAGCAGAUGUAUGGAAAUGCCUAGAUUCCCAGGCAAAAGUUUGCUGCAGGGGCGGGGCGCUCAUAGAGAACCUCUUCUAGGGCAAUGUGAAAGGAAAUGUGGGGUUGGAUACCCCACGUAGAGUCCCUACUGCAGCACUGCCUAGUGGAGCUGUGAGAAGAGGACUACCGUCCUUCAGAUCCCAGAAUGGUAGAUUCCCCGAUAGCUUGCACUUUGCACCUGGAAAAGCUGCAGACACUCAAAGCCAGCCGUUAAAGCAGCCAGGAGGGAGACUGUACCCUGCAGAGCCACAGGGGCGGAGCUGCCCAAGACCGUGGGAACCCACCUCUUGCAUCAGCGUGACCUGAAUGUGAGACCUGGAGAAAAAGGAGAUAAUUUUGGAGCUUUAAAAUUUGACUGCCCCACUGGAUUUUGGACUUGCAUGGGCCCUGUAACCCCUUUUUUGGGGCCAAUUUCUCCCAUUUGAAAUGGCUGUUGUGUCUAGGAAGUAACUAGCUUGUUUUUGAUUUUACAGGCUCAUAGGUAGAAGGGACUUGCAUCGUCUCAGAGACUUUGGACUUCAGGCUUUUGGGUUAAUGCAGAAAUGAGUUAAGACUUAACGGUGAUUGUUGGGAAGGCAGUACCCCAGGGAGAGGUAAUUGAAUCAUGAGGGCCGGUCUUUCCUGUGCUGUUCUCCUGAUAGUGAAUAAGUCUCGCGAGAUCUGAUGGGUUUAUCAGGGGUUUCCGCUAUUGUUUCGUCCUCAUUUUCUCUUGCUGCUACCAUGGAAGAAGCGACUUUCGCCUCCCGCCGUGAUUCUGAGGCCUUUCCAGCCAUGUCAAACUCAAAAUGUGACUGAAAAACAGAAGCAUUUGGAAUACGUAACAGAAGUCAUUAAAAAGAGCCAUGUAAUAUGUGCCUGCUUCCCCUUCUGCCAUGAUUGUAAGUUUCCUGAUGCCUUCUCAGCCAUGCAGAACUGAAUCCAUUAUUGUUUGCAUUAUCAUUGACGACUGUGAGAAUCUGCAGAAAAAAACAGUAUGGAACUACAACUUCACGUUCUUGAGAAAAGCUUGCAGUCAGCAGAAAAGAGAGUUGGUAGUGCUGAGCUGCUGAAGGUUCAUUACUGCCUAGCCUUGAGAAUGGAGGCCCCACUGGGUACUCUUCAUAAGAGAUGCCCCAACUCGUCAAAGGAAUUAUGGAGUCUGGAAUUUUGAUAGGUGCUACGCAGAAGGUGCCUUAUGACUAUCCCCUAAUAGAAAUCCUAGGCACUAAAUCCCUAAUGAGCUUCCCUGGUGGACAACAUUUCAUAUAUGUUGUCAAAAGUUGUUGCUGAGGGAAUUAAGCAGAGCCCAUAUGAUUCCACAGGGAAAGGACUUCUAGAAACUUUCAUAGCUGGUUUCCACUGGACAUUGCCACAUAUGACAUUUCCCUUUACUUAUAUGCUUUGCAUCCUUUUACUGUAGUAUAUGAUAGCCAUGAAUAAGACUAUGAGUCCUCCUAGCAAAUCAUCAAACCAGAAGAUUCAUGCGGUUUUUAUAUCAAUGGAUUUCCUAAUAUUGUAUCAACAUCAUAUUCCCAGAAUAAAUCACACUUGAUCAAAAUGUAUC